GAUGAACGCUGACAGAAUGCUUAACACAUGCAAGUCAACUUGAACUUCGGUUUGGGUGGCGGACGGGUGAGUAACGCGUAAAGAACUUGCCUCACAGAUAGGGACAACAUUUGGAAACGAAUGCUAAUACCUGAUAUUAUGAUUAUAUGGCAUCGUAUAAUUAUGAAAGCUAUAUGCGCUGUGAGAGAGCUUUGCGUCCCAUUAGCUAGUUGGAGAGGUAACGGCUCACCAAGGCGAUGAUGGGUAGCCGGCCUGAGAGGGUGAUCGGCCACAAGGGGACUGAGACACGGCCCUUACUCCUACGGGAGGCAGCAGUGGGGAAUAUUGGACAAUGGACCAAGAGUCUGAUCCAGCAAUUCUGUGUGCACGAUGAAGUUUUUCGGAAUGUAAAGUGCUUUCAGUUGGGAAGAAAAAAAUGACGGUACCAACAGAAGAAGUGACGGCUAAAUACG
rnacentral:rRNA from 1 species